GUGCUCAUUUCAGCAGCGUAUAUACUGAAAUUGGAAUGAUGUAGAGAUUAGCAUGGCCCCUACGCAAGGUGAUAUGCAAAAAUCAUACAGUCAUACAGUCACU